rnacentral:rRNA from 1 species
AUUGAACGCUAGCGGCAUGCCUUACACAUGCAAGUCGAACGGCAGCACGAACUUCGGUUUGGUGGCGAGUGGCGAACGGGUGAGUAAAGCAUCGGAACGUGCCUAGUAGUGGGGGAUAACUAUUCGAAAGAGUAGCUAAUACCGCAUACGAUCUAAGGAUGAAAGUGGGGGAUCUUCGGACCUCAUGCUAUUAGAGCGGCCGAUGUCAGAUUAGCUAGUUGGUGAGGUAAAAGCUCACCAUGGCGACGAUCUGUAGCUGGUCUGAGAGGACGACCAGCCAAACUGGGACUGAGACACGGCCCAGACUCCUACGGGAGGCAGCAGUGGGGAAUUUUGGACAAUGGGCGAAAGCCUGAUCCAGCAAUGCCGCGUGUGUGAAGAAGGCCUUCGGGUUGUAAAGCACUUUUGUUCGGGAAGAAAAGGUUUGUGUUAAUACCAUAAGCUGAUGACGGUACCGAAAGAAUAAGCACCGGCUAACUACGUGCCAGCCGCCGCCGUAA